ACUUUUUAUCUAUACUGAUUUACGAUAAAACCUUGUAAUACUUUCAGCUAAUUUUGACGCCCCAUGUUAAGUUGCUACUGCCUAACGUAACAGUACAUCCAUAGACUGUGAGUACAUCGCAUAUUUUAGGUUAAACAAAUUAACAUACUUCCAAUAAUGCAUUGACACCCUUUACAACGCUUUUAAAACCUCCCAUCGACACAUUUAGAUGUUCUCAAUCGCCCAAACUUUCAUAAACAAGCGCUAAAACUAUAGCGCUAGCACCAUGCUAACGGAAAUGCUAACGGACUUUUCUCGAAGACACAAGCCAUUUCAAUGAGUGUGUCCUGGUAAACGUGUGCUCGGAAACAUGCAGAUUACAGUAUUUACAGAGCCGACCUUGAGUCACCCACUGAUGGAUAAUCUGUUUACCUAAAAACAGCCCACCACAAUCAAUGUUUACCAGCUGUGAAAGUGCAGGCCAAAAAUCUUCCUUCACCUGUGGGCCUCUACCCACAUGUAGAUAAGCACUUCAGGAGAAACCUGCCUGUGAUCUGCUAAGAUGCACAGAUUCAACUCUGGCCCAUUGUCAUCCCAACACCUCAUCUGCCAUCAGUUUCGUUUAGUGUCGGUCUAUUGCAAAAGUUCUUAUAAACUUUAAAUGAGACUUUGUGUUAAGCAGGGGUUUCCAAACUUUUCAUUCCACAACAUAUUAAGCCCAGGAUACACAGCAGGAUUUUUGCAAUCCAAUAAGACCUUAUCACACUGUGUGACAAGGAUUGUUUAAACUUCAGCAGUAGACUGUCGAUGAAGACACCUAUUGCAUCUGAAGCUGCGACAUCUGUCAUCAACAUGCGCUAGUGGUAAACAAAUACAGGUAUGCAGGUCGUAGAAGCAAACACAUUGUUGAUGUGCGAUGAUCAUGCUGAACUUCUUACACUGUCAUAAAACUAUCGUAGGUGUCUUUGGUCCCAGGACUGGGAAAACAGAUGUCUUUAAACCUCUCACACUGUAUGAGAUAGGACCACCAAUUAAGAGCCACGAUCACAGAAAUCUCCACGAUUGUUUCACGAUUGGUAAUCUUUCAUCUGGGACAGCCAAAAAUCGUGCCGUGUAUUAUGGGCUUUAGACAGGUGUAAUCUUAUAGUAUAUCAAAACCAUUGCUAAUAAUUAAUUGGACAAACCAUCACUACAAUGCAACACUCACUAUCUUACGGUGCGACCCACAAGUGGGUCUUCACCCACAGUUUAAAAACCCUGAGUAUGAGAAAGACUAUGUUGUAUUGUAAUUAAAGUCACAUCUAAGUGUUAUGGAACAGUUUGUCAUUAUAUUCACAGUAUUACAUGGUUCUUUCAGCAGUUACUACGUUACAGUGCUCUUAAAGUGUCCUGAUCAGCUUUGGGUCUUGUGAAGUAAUGUAAUGAGAACGUGAUCAAUAGCUUUGCAGUAUUUUGUUACACUGUGGCUGUAAUCAUAUUAACACAUAGGUUAAACAUUUUAUUCAAAUUUGGUAAACAAACUAGUCAAUAUAAUUCAUGCUGUGAUGCUGGAUUAAACCUGGUCAAAUGAU